UAGGGAAUCUUCCGCAAUGGACGCAAGUCUGACGGAGCAACGCCGCGUGAGUGAAGAAGGAUUUCGGUUCGUAAAACUCUGUUGUUAGAGAAGACCAGCGCAUAGAGUAACUGUUAUGCGUGUGACGGUAUCUAACCAGAAAGCCACGGCUAACUACGUGCCAGCAGCCGCGGUAAUACGUAGGUGGCAAGCGUUGUCCGGAUUUAUUGGGCGUAAAGCGAGCGCAGGCGGUCAAUUAAGUCUGAUGUGAAAGCCCCCGGCUCAACCGGGGAGGGUCAUUGGAAACUGGUUGACUUGAGUGCAGAAGAGGAGAGUGGAAUUCCAUGUGUAGCGGUGAAAUGCGUAGAUAUAUGGAGGAACACCAGUGGCGAAGGCGACUCUCUGGUCUGUAACUGACGCUGAGGCUCGAAAGCGUGGGUAGCAAACAGG
rnacentral:rRNA from 1 species